UGGGGAAUAUUGCACAAUGGGCGCAAGCCUGAUGCAGCCAUGCCGCGUGUGUGAAGAAGGCCUUCGGGUUGUAAAGCACUUUCAGCGGGGAGGAAGGCGAUAAGGUUAAUAACCUUAUCAAUUGACGUUACCGACAGAAGAAGCACCGGCUAACUCCGUGCCAGCAGCCGCGGUAAUACGGAGGGUGCAAGCGUUAAUCGGAAUUACUGGGCGUAAAGCGCACGCAGGCGGUUGAUUGAGUCAGAUGUGAAAUCCCCGGGCUUAACCCGGGAAUUGCAUCUGAUACUGGUCAGCUAGAGUCUUGUAGAGGGGGGUAGAAUUCCAGGUGUAGCGGUGAAAUGCGUAGAGAUCUGGAGGAAUACCGGUGGCGAAGGCGGCCCCCUGGACAAAGACUGACGCUCAGGUGCGAAAGCGUGGGGAGCAAACAGG
rnacentral:rRNA from 1 species